rnacentral:rRNA from 1 species
GACGAACGCUGGCGGCGUGCCUAAUACAUGCAAGUCGAACGAACCGCGACUAGGUGCUUGCGCUUGGUCAAGGUGAGUGGCGAACGGGUGAGUAACACGUGGGUAACCUACCUCAUAGUGGGGGAUAACAGUCGGAAACGACUGCUAAUACCGCAUAGGACAUAGGAUCACAUGAUCCAGUGAGGAAAGGUGGCGCAAGCUAUCGCUAAGAGAUGGACCCGCGGUGCAUUAGCUAGUUGGUAGGGUAAAGGCCUACCAAGGCGAUGAUGCAUAGCCGACCUGAGAGGGUGAUCGGCCACAUUGGGACUGAGACACGGCCCAAACUCCUACGGGAGGCAGCAGUAGGGAAUCUUACGCAAUGGACGCAAGUCUGACGGAGCAACGCCGCGUGAGUGAAGAAGGUCUUCGGAUCGUAAAGCUCUGUUGUUAGAGAAGAACAGCGCAUAGAGUAACUGUUAUGCGUGUGACGGUAUCUAACCAGAAAGCCACGGCUAACUACGUG